CAACACUGUAAAUCGACUAUACUUCAAUUAAAAAAAAAAUCUUAAGGAGUUUCCACUGUGGCAUAGCAGAAACAAAUCCGACUAGGAACCAUGGUGUUGAGGGUUCCAUUCCUGGCCUCACUCAGUGGGUUAGGGAUCUGGUGUUGCCGUGAGCUGUGGUUUAGUUUGUAGACGCGGUUUGGAUCUGGCGUUUCUGUGGUUGUGGCAUGGGCCAGCUCCGAUUAGACCCCUAGCCUAGGAACCUCCAUGUGCUGCUGCUGGUGUGGCCCUAAAAAGACCAAAAAAAAAAAAAAAAAAAAAAAAUCUUGAGUUCUUUCUAUUGCAUAUGCAACAGUUGUUUAUAAGUACAGAGAAGCAAAAACAAGGAAUAAAAGUUUAUAACUUCACUAUUUAGCAGUAAUCAUUAGUAAGGUCUUUUAAGAUGAACUUCAUAAGAGGUGACCGUUUUCAUAUUUAUCCUGUGUAUGUUUUGGUAAGUUUAUUCAUAACUUUUAAUUUUGUAUUGUUAAUAUGAACUUUAGAAUUUUUCUUCGGGGUUUUUUGGUAUAAAAACAAGUUAUUCAUUUUUCUCUAUUUUAUUGGCUUCCUAACUGAACUCUUUAUUAACUCUAACUGAACUCUUAAUGUAACACACAAAAUAGUGAAUAGAAUAGCAUGAGCAAAGUCAUGAAAGUGUGAAACAGACUGAUGUUGCAUGUAGUAUGGUAUUACCAGAGGCAUAAAUGAAAAUGUCAGGGAGAGAUUGGAAGUGAGGCUAGGGAGGAGUGAGAUCAUUAAGAUUUUUUCUUGGUAUGCUUAGGUACUUGAAUUUUAUCCUAAAAGUGAUAACUAUUUUAAAGGAUUUUAAACUAAUCUGGUGUGGUUAAAUUAGUAUUUAAAAUGAACUAGUCUGGCUGUAGGAUGGUGUAUUGAAUUGAAGGAAAUAAGAAGUCUAGGAGACUGUUGAGGUAGUCAUGGGGACAUGGGGGGCUUUAUUAGGCAGUGUGAGUAGGAUUUGAGAGAAAGGGGGUAGAUUUCAGAUACAUUGUAAAAUUGGCAAGAUUUUUAGGAGGAGUCAAGGCUGAUCUCAGGGUUUCUGAUUUUCCAGCUUGGGUGAUGAGAUGAUUCCAUUAGAAGAGAUGAGUCAUUUGGAGGAAAACAUAAUUUUACAAUUUAGUUUUAUUAAGUUUCUUUUUUUGAAAGACAAGGAGGUGAGGAUACUAUUGGGAAGCUCAGUUUAUGGACUGUCAUGGCAGAAGUCACAAUUUUGCAGCUGAGAAAACAUAUACCAGAAGAAGUAGUUAAAUAAAAUCUGAAAUAAGAUUUUGAAGUCAUCAAGUACUUUAAAAAUUGGCAUAAACAACCUUUUAAACUGUCCAGUAUAUCUGAAGGAUGCACCACAUCCUCAUGGAUCCUAGUCAGGUUUGUUAACCACUGAACCAUGAUGGGAACUCCCGUAGUGAUUUUUUUUUUUUUUCUUUUUUGAAAGAGUAGUUCAGCAGAUAAUUAGGGCUAAAAGAAAAGAAAAGAAAAACCUAGAGUGGGGAAUGAGAAGCAAGGAGGUGGGAGCAGUGAAUAUAAGACGAUUUUCUAGGAAGGAAGACAGAGACUGUGGUACUUAGCGACAGUCUUCGCGGGUUUUUUCUUCUCAUAUUUGGCUACCCUGUGGCAUAUGGAGUUCCUGGGCCAGGGAUCAGAUCUGAUCUGCAGAUGUGACCUGCUCUGCAGCUUUGACCUAAGCCGCAGCUCUGUCAAUGUCAGAUCCUUAUUAACUCACUGUAUCUGUCUGGGUAUCAAACCUGUGUCCCAGUGCUCCAGAGACACUGCUGAUCCUGUUGCACCACAGCAGGAACUCCCAGUCUUUAUGUUCUCAGUGAUAGAGGAUACUUAAAUGAUUUACUGGCUUAGGGGUAGAGAUUUCGGAGAAUGAAAUAUUGACGUGAGGGAGAUUAGAGCAAGAACAAGAGGAAGGAUACCAUGUUUUCUGAGAUAAUAUUAAAGAAUGGAUAAUUGAGAGACAGGCAAUAAGUUGAACAGAUAGUUCAUAAUUAAUGACUGCCUUUUUUUUUUUUUUUGAUCUUCAGGGAAGGUAGAGGUUGCCCAAGGGAAAGUAUCUUAAGAUUAAAAUUUGGAAGAGUUGUUGAAGAGAAUGGGAGAGGAACCUACUAUAGACAAAUAAAAAUACUGCUUUAGUGGGAUUAUGAUUCUACCUGAAAUUGUAGACCAGAAUUUAGAGUUGUAUCAAUUUUCAUGUCUCUGUGGUACUUUUCCAGCAUUGCUCAAUAGCUUGGAUGUUUAAGAGAAGAUAGUUUGUGGAAUUAUUUUAGGCUUAGACUUUUACAUGAUGGGUCCCACAGAAGGACCAAUGGUAAAAAGUGUUGAUGAAGAAGUGUUUUAAGGAGAUCAUUCAAAUAUAGGCUUACCAAGAAAAGGAGAUGACAGAGGGACCAGCUAGACAAUGCAAAGUGCUAUGUUCUGUGUAUAAUGUUGGGGAGCAGAUAUAAGGAUAGUGUGGGCAUGAGAGAGCUGUGAAUAUCGGAAGAUUGGGUCAGAUUAGUUAAGUGUUUGGCUGUGAAAAUUGUUAGAUGAAACCCAAAGGCUGUGUUUGAAGGUCUUUGAAUUGAAAAAGUUCAGGAAUAUUGAGACUUGGGUUUUUAGAUAAAUGAUGCAUGUGGUGAUGAGACAUAUAAGGGCAGAAUUCUGACCAAGAUGCAGACAUCUUCAGCGAGUGUGAAGAGCAGUGGUAGGUGAUCAGGAAGUGAAUAAUGCCACUGAUGAGGAAGAUUAGAGCCUGUACACACUUGGAGAGCAGGAGUGCUAAUAGUAACUCAGAGAAUUCAGACUGUGGGAGAAUUCAGACUGUGGGAAGAUAGACAGUUUUCUGCUGUCUUCUAGAUAGCUAAGAUGUUUCUAUACACUGUUCAAGACCUUGAGUCUCAUAAAGCUUAAAACAGUCGUGUAUAAAUAAAAAACAAGGCAGUUUUAUAAAUAGGUGUCAUGAAUCACAUGGGUAAUAAAUAAUCUAGGAAACUUUUGAAGGGAAGAUUUAUCAAUUCUGUGAAUGCAACAUUUGAGAUGUUAAGAGAUAGAGAAAUAUGGAAAAAGAAGGGGUGGUGGUGUAGGUGAAAUGGAGGUGGAGAGUGGUAUGAGCACAGGCAGUUGGAAAUGAAGACAACAAAACUUAGCAUUUUUUACCUGAAAUAGAGUAUGGGGGUGGGCUGGUUGGAGAAGAAAGAUUGUAGUUUUAGCACUAAAACCUACACCUUCCUGUGUUUCACCUUUUCACCAAAUUUCUCCCAACAAAAACCUAACUAGCGCUUUUGGAGGUGGGGAGAUAAAAGAUGUAGCUCUUGAGUAGUAUCAAGGGAGACUUUUAGUAUAAUUUAGGUUUGCUAUUCAGUAUGUUCAAUAACUUUGGGAUUUUAUACAAAACAUUAGUUUUCCAGAUAUGUGUCCCAGACAUUGAAAUCAUUCAUACUGUACAAAUUCUAAUUAGUUGAGGUUUUGCUCUAGUUUCUACAGUACCCAGUAUAAUAGGAGCAUGUGACAGAAAUACUGCAUGUCUUUGAGAACUGAAAUCUAAGAAAUGAAUCUAGUAAACUGGUAAUUAAAUCCAACAGUCUGCAUUAAACUUGGUCAUUGUGGUAAACUGUUUCAAGCUACAACAAUGGUAAUACCGUAGAAUUUUGUACAGUAGUUUUUGCAUCUUCACUACUUCUCUGAAUCACUACUGUUGGAGAUAGUGAGCUUGGCAGUGGAGAACACUAGAGAAGUAAAGAGGAGAAACCUGAUCAGAGGUAUCUGUGGUAUAUUUGAUCAAGGUGAUGCCUGGGUAGCUGGCAGGCUUGGUGCUCCAGUGAGCAGUGAUGAAAGGGUAUGGUUAUGAUUAUUCUGGGACUUUUAUACAUAUUCUUCACCUUACUUUCUGUUCCAUCCCUAGUUUCAGUGGAAUAUGGAGCAGCUUUCUAUUGGGGGAAUAUUCUAAGUCUGUUCUUCAAUCUCUGCUAAAGUUUUUUUCCUUCUUAAGUUAAUUAUCUCCUAAUUAUGGAGCAUAUUAUUUAUUAACAGUAAAUAUACAACUGUAUAAUCGACAACUUUGUAUUUAACAACAACAGGGAGUCUUGAUUUAGCCUACAAUUAUUAAUUGUCCUUUGAGACUUACUGUUUGUGAUCAGCAAAGUUUCAUUGUACAGUUGUGGGCUAUACAAAUUUAUUUAUUUUUUAAUUUAAUUUAAUUAAAAAAAUUUUUUAAUUGUUAUUUCCCCAAUACAAUUUUUUCCUUGCUGUACAACAUGGUGACCCAGUUACACAUAUAUGUUUACAUUCUUUUCUCUCCCAUUAUUAUGCUCCAUCAUAAGUGACUAGACAUAGUUCUCAGUGCUUCGGGCUAUACAAAUGUAAAUUACCCAACAUUGAAAUAGCAUAAUACAGAAAGUUGUCUUAACAUUUUGAUGUACAAAAUUUGAUAGAAGACUCUUAAAGUACUAAAAAAUUCUUUAAAAAUCCUAUAAUUUUAAAGUUGGUAUGCUUAAUAAAUUGUAAACUGUACACUUGCCAUGUGGUCAUAUCACUUAAGUAAACUACCUUCCCUCCUUUGUUAAGAAUAGUCACACUGUUGGGGUUCCCGUCAUGGCUCAGUGGUUAACGAAUCUGACUAGGAGCCAUGAGGUUGGGGGUUCUAUCCCUGGCCUCGCUCAGUGGGUUAAGGAUCCGGCAUUGCCGUGAACUUUGGUGUGGAUCACAGACGCGGCUCGGAUCCCGUGUUGCUGUGGCUGUGGUGUAGGCCAGCGGCUGCCCCUCCAAUUCGACCCCUAGCCUGGGAAUCUCCAUAUGCUGCCAGAGUAGCCCAAGAAAUAGCGUGCAUGCACACACACAUACACACACAUAAGUGGCCCAAGAAAUAGUGCACACAUGCACGCACGCACGCGCGCGCACACACACACACAGUCACACUGCUCCAACCUCUUAUAUUGGCCAUUACACUUUGCAAAUCCUGCAAGUCUUAGCUGAAAUGUUACCCCCUCAGAAAGUCUACAACCAUCCUCUUAAAGUACUUUAUCACCUCACAAAAUCUGAAAUUGUCAUGUUUAUCUCUUUAUUUAUUGUCUGAUUCUGUGUACUAGAGAUACUAGCUUCUUUAAAAAAGAGAUUUUGGAUUUCCCUCUGUCAUGCAGUGGGUUAAGGAUCCGGCCAGCAUUGCUGCAGCUGUGGCAUAGGCCACAGAUGGGACUCAGUUUUGAUCCCUGGCUCAGGAACUUCCAUAUAUGCCAAGGUGAGCCCGAAAAA
rnacentral:lncRNA from 1 species